rnacentral:rRNA from 1 species
CGGUGUUCAACUGGCGUGCCCGCGGGACGUCCUGCCGGUGAGCUCAGCCCGCGAGGGCGGCCCAACUUGAAAUCCCAUCGCGGUGCUCUUCAUUGAGUGUCGAGGUGGGCCGGCACGAUUACUUUUGAACAAAUUAGAGUGCUUAAAGCAGGCUAAAAUUUUGCCUGAAUACUGUGUAUAUGGAAUAAUGGAAUAGGACCUCGGUUCUAUUUUGUUGGUUUUCGGAACCCCGAGGUAAUGAUUAAUAGGAACGGAUGGGGGCAUUCGUAUUGCGACGUUAGAGGUGAAAUUCUUGGAUCGUCGCAAGACGGACUAAAGCGAAAGCAUUUGCCAAAAACGCUUUCAUUGAUCAAGAACGAAAGUUAGAGGUUCGAAGGCGAUCAGAUACCGCCCUAGUUCUAACCAUAAACUAUGCCAGCUAGCGAUCCGCCGACGUCCCUCUGAUGACUCGGCGGGCAGCUUCCGGGAAACCAAAGCUUUUGGGUUCCGGGGGAAGUAUGGUUGCAAAGCUGAAACUUAAAGGAAUUGACGGAAGGGCACCACCAGGAGUGGAGCCUGCGGCUUAAUUUGACUCAACACGGGAAACCUCACCAGGCCCAGACACUGGAAGGAUUGACAGAUUGAGAGCUCUUUCUUGAUUCAGUGGGUGGUGGUGCAUGGCCGUUCUUAGUCGGUGGAGCGAUUUGUCAGGUUAAUUCCGAUAACGGACGAGACUCUGACCUGAUAACUAGACGCACUUGCGGCAUCUCAAAGGUCCGCCGGCGGCUGGCUUUGCGCCCGUCGUCGCGCGCGAUUUUUACUGCCGGCGUACAAUAAAUUCAUCUAGAGGGACAAGUGG